UAGAUUUGUUCAUUCUGAGUAUCUCUGCACAAUCUAAUCUAAUUUUAAAAUUUUAUUAUUUCAAAUGGGGAAUCGUAAGGAAAUAUAGAUUUCAGCUCGAAAUAUUGUAAUUAAUAUCCGGAAAGUUUUUACAGUACCAGAGAGCUUUCGCGUCGAAAAAUGAGAUCCAACAAGUAUCCGAAAAUCACCAAGGAUUUAGAAAUAUACUAACACGAAAAAGGCACUAAUUAGUGGUAAACUUCGACUUGACUUUGCCAAAACACAUCUUAAGAAAAGUAUGGAUUUUUUAAAAUGGAUGCUUUUUACCGAUGAAAAUAUUGACAAAUAUAAUCCAUGCAUUCGUCAGUGCACAAAAGUGAUUCUCAAGCCGAUUAACGGAAAUGCUGGAAGAUAAUAAACUGCCGGAAAUGAUCGACAAAUAAUUUAUAGCUGUUUCACUAGGAAAUGUACCGUUGAAAAUUAGAUUAUCUUAUGAAAUAUCUACCAAAAAGCAUUAUGUUGCAUUUGAUUUUUUUAAUUACAGAAUUAGCAACAAUCGUAUAUUGCACAAAUUGUUUUAACUGCUAAAUCAAAAGCGAAUGCACUGGCUCGGGGUUUGGCGCGUUCAUUUACUGCUGUCAAAGCCAAUA